rnacentral:lncRNA from 1 species
UCCUCCAGCACCGUAGAGCUCGAAGUCUCCCUUCCUCAAACUUCUAAUUUUUUGCAACCCCUGCAAUGAUUUGCAGAUAUGAAAACCACAGGUGGUAUCCAAUAUUCAAGAGUUUGAAAUGGAAGAAUUCAAUGAUAAUAUUGUAUGUGUUGGGUAUAAAAUACCCUCCAGUCGAAGUUCGUGACCCUCUGGGGAUCCUACCGACUUCCGACCUCCGACGAUAUCUCUCCGAACCUCUCUGGCGGUCGAGCCUCCACAACACUCCCAAAUUUUGCCAAUGGAUAAGCCCCC